ACGAAAUGCCGACGAUGUAAACGAAGUGUUUGACAACAGCCACCUUGUUAAGAAGGUAGAGAAAAGAGAGGAAACAGAGUGGGAGCGAGAGAGAAAAAAGAGGAAAAAAAGAGAAUGGGCAAAACACCGAGUGUUAAUAAUGGAAAAUGGAAAAUGGGAAUGUACAAGGUUAGAAGAAAGUUGGAAACAAAAAAGUUGAAAAAAAAAAGUUGGAAAUGCAAGUAGAUUGUGAGUUGAGUCAAUGUUUAUUACGAGUCGAUACUCAGUUUGAAUCGAUGCUCAUUUGAGUCCCUGCUCGUUCGUUGGUUUUGGGAAUGAAAUGGCAAGUCAAAAAAUUACGCACAAGGAGAAUAUGAGAUUCGUAACGAAUGUCUCUUUUCGCUAAAAGACAAGAACUAUGGUGGAGUAAAUUCCUCAAUUCACAUCAUGGAGCUUACGUGGAGCAAUGCAGUGUAUUAGUACGAGUGGUGCACUGUACGUCGACAUGCCAUGUUUGAGCAAGUCAAUGCUAGCGUUGAAAUUGCCUGUGGAUUGCAUUGCAUGUAUAUGCCACACUGUUGGCGUAGCGUGAAAUGAUGAUGAAUGUUGAUGAGAUGACGGGAGAAUUCAAUUAGUAAGGAUGUUUUGGCAGAUGUGAGAAGGUUUGGACGCUGUAAAGUAUGGAAAAUCAAAAUUCCUGAAUUUUUGUAAACUCCCAUACAAAUACGAUUACACAUACAUACAAAAAUGCAAAUAACAAAAUAUACACGCACGCAUGCACACUAAAUAAACAAACUGUGCGUCCAUUCCUUUUAUGCACAAACGUUGAAGCUCAGGACAUCGCACCAACAAUCACUCAUCUCUUCUCUCUCUACCCACUUUCCACCCACACCCACAGUCUGCAUCUGUUUGACGACUGUAGCUCAAGCAUCAGUAGCAGCCGCUGUCAUCCUCAACUGCUGCUGCUGAUGCUGCUUGAAUGUACGCAUGAUAGCAACGACGCACCGCUCUACCACUACUACCGAAGCGCCAUCAUCACCUCCUCACCUACCAUCGCAAUCGUCCUCUCGAAACUCUUCGACCGCUUUCACCCGGCUUCCUGCAGGUAACAAUGCGCUCGGCGCUUGAUUAAAAGAGGCCAGAGGCGAUAAAUGACUCAGGGUGCAUUUGGCCUCGCUACGAAAGGACCCUGUCUUGUGAUUUUUCCGUAGCCAAUGGACAACCGCCUUGUCAACCUUUUGACUUUGGAAUGUGCUAGCAAUUCCUCCUUCCCCCUGACUUCAGGUGACAAGGCUUGCAUCACGCUGAGGUAGGCGUCGGAAAAACUUUCCUCACAAGGCUGACGUCAUGGAAUGUGCAAUCAAAGUCAGGAGCGGGAACGAGGCAGAUUACCAACGAAGCAACGACCAUCUCGGAACAACUUGCAAAGAAAGUCAAGGAAAGUUGGCACCACAUCACGAUCGCGCACCUUCUCCAAUCACCUUGCUCCUUAGUUGUUCCGAAUCGAGUGCGAGGCAAUUGUGGUAAAGAUAGUCGGGGGAAACCCUUACCCCAUUCACACCACGGCUGAUGGCUGCUGUGUGGGAUGGAAAGGUAUAAAUAGAGGCAGGCGGUGCCUAGCAUCGCUUCUG